rnacentral:ncRNA from 2 species
UGAUUUCGCGGAAUGAUAGGUGCCUUAACGGCUUAAUAGGGAAUCUGGUGGAAAACCAGAACUGCCCCCGCAACUGUAAGUGUCGACGAAAUGAGGGAUCCACUGUGCUAAGUAACAAAGCAUGGGAAGGCUCAUAGUAGGAUGAAGCACGAGUCAGGAGACCUACCUACAUUUCUAGUCAAAC